rnacentral:rRNA from 1 species
AACGAACGCUGGCGGCAUGCCUAACACAUGCAAGUCGAACGAGACCUUCGGGUCUAGUGGCGCACGGGUGCGUAACGCGUGGGAACCUGCCCUUAGGUUCGGAAUAACUCCCCGAAAGGGGUGCUAAUACCGGAUAAUGUCUUCGGACCAAAGAUUUAUCGCCUUUGGAUGGGCCCGCGUUGGAUUAGCUAGUUGGUAGGGUAAAAGCCUACCAAGGCUACGAUCCAUAGCUGGUCUGAGAGGAUGAUCAGCCACACUGGGACUGAGACACGGCCCAGACUCGUACGGGAGGCAGCAGUGGGGAAUAUUGGACAAUGGGCGAAAGCCUGAUCCAGCAAUGCCGCGUGAGUGAUGAAGGCCUUAGGGUUGUACAGCUCUUUUACCCGGGAUGAUAAUGACAGUACCGGGAGAAUAAGCUCCGGCUAACUCCGUG